rnacentral:lncRNA from 1 species
UUCGCUAAUCUCGUUAGACUUCUCAUUAUUAGUUUUUCUUCUCUUUUGUAUUAGGAUUGAGUACCUCUUUUGCUCGUGUUUAAUGCAGCGUCUCUUGCUUUUUUUUUUAAAAACCAUCUUUUUUUCUUUCAGUUUUUUAGAAUUUGAAGUUAAGGACUAAAUCAUAUAAAUAAAUGAUAGACGGUACAAAUCAAGACGCAUUUUCUUUUCAUAUUUUUAAGAGACAUUUCAUUUUUGUUCUUUU